UACGUAGGGGGCAAGCGUUGUUCGGAAUUACUGGGCGUAAAGGGCGCGUAGGCGGCCUGCUAAGUCGAACGUGAAAUCCCUGGGCUCAACCCUGGAAGUGCACUCGAAACUGGACGGCUUGAAUAUGGAAGAGGGUCGCGGAAUUCCCGGUGUAGAGGUGAAAUUCGUAGAUAUCGGGAGGAACACCAGUGGCGAAGGCGGCGACCUGGGCCAAUAUUGACGCUGAGGUGCGAAAGCGUGGGGAGCAAACAGG
rnacentral:rRNA from 1 species